rnacentral:rRNA from 1 species
GACGAACGCUGGCGGCGUGCCUAAUACAUGCAAGUUGAGCGCUGAAGGUUGGUACUUGUACCAACUGGAUGAGCAGCGAACGGGUGAGUAACGCGUGGGGAAUCUGCCUUUGAGCGGGGGACAACAUUUGGAAACGAAUGCUAAUACCGCAUAAAAACUUUAAACACAAGUUUUAAGUUUGAAAGAUGCAAUUGCAUCACUCAAAGAUGAUCCCGCGUUGUAUUAGCUAGUUGGUGAGGUAAAGGCUCACCAAGGCGAUGAUACAUAGCCGACCUGAGAGGGGGGGCGGCGAGGGUGGGAGUGGGAGACGGCCCAAACGGCGAGGGGAGGCAGCAGUAGGGGAUCUUGGGGGAUGGACGAAAGGCUGACCGAGCAACGCCGCGGGAGGGAAGAAGGGUUUCGGAUCGUAAAACUCUGUUGGUAGAGAAGAACGUUGGGGGGAGUGGAAAGCUCAGCAAGUGACGGUAACUACCCAGAAAGGGACGGCUAACUACGUG